rnacentral:lncRNA from 1 species
AAAAACUUUAACCUGAAAUUUGCACUAUCAUUUUCUAUGUUCAGUGAACCGUAAAAUUGGGGUCAAAACUCUAAUUUGGCAUUUAAAUUAGAAAGAUCAUAUCAUAGGGCACAUGUAUACUAAGUUUCAAGUUGAUUGGACUUCAACUUCAUCAAAAACUACUUGACAAAAACUUUAACCUGAAGCAAAAACUUUAACUGAAAUUUGCACUAUCAUUUUCUAUGUUCAGUGAACCGUAAAAUUGGGGUCAAAACUCUAAUUUGGCAUUAAAAUUAGAAAGAUCAUAUCAUAGGGGACAUGUGUACUAAGUUUGAAGUCGAUUGGACUUAAACUUCAUCAAAAACUACCUUGACCAAAAACUUUAACCUGAAGCGGGACAGACGGACGGACGAACGAACAGACGGACGGACGAACAGACAGACGGACGGACGAACAGACGGACGGACGAACAGACAGACGGACGCACAGACCAGAAAACAUAAUGCCCCUCUACUAUCGUAGGUGGGGCAUAAAAAGAGAUGUG